GCUUGGGAACAUGCCUUAAGGUGGGGGACAACAGUUGGAAACGACUGCUAAUACCGCAUAAUGUCUACGGACCAAAGGAGGGGAUCUUCGGACCUUCCGCCUCAAGAGUGGCCCAAGUGAGAUUAGCUAGUUGGUGAGGUAAUGGCUCACCAAGGCGACGAUCUCUAACUGGUUUGAGAGGAUGAUCAGUCACACUGGAACUGAGACACGGUCCAGACUCCUACGGGAGGCAGCAGUGGGGAAUAUUGCACAAUGGGGGAAACCCUGAUGCAGCCAUGCCGCGUGUGUGAAGAAGGCCUG
rnacentral:rRNA from 1 species